rnacentral:rRNA from 1 species
CGUAACGCGUAGGCAACCUGCCCUUGAGUGGGGAAUAACCACGGGAAACCGUGGCUAAUACCACAUAUUGUCUUGUUACCGCAUGGUGACGAGAUAAAAGCCUUCGGGUGCUCAAGGAUGGGCCUGCGUCGGAUUAGGCAGUUGGUGAGGUAACGGCUCACCAAACCUACGAUCCGUAGCUGGUCUGAGAGGAUGAUCAGCCACACUGGCACUGAGACACGGGCCAG